rnacentral:rRNA from 1 species
CGGACGGGUGAGUAAUGUCUGGGAAACUGCCUGAUGGAGGGGGAUAACUACUGGAAACGGUAGCUAAUACCGCAUAACGUCGCAAGACCAAAGAGGGGGACCUUCGGGCCUCUUGCCAUCGGAUGUGCCCAGGUGGGAUUAGCUAGUAGGUGGGGUAACGGCUCACCUAGGCGACGAUCCCUAGCUGGUCUGAGAGGAUGACCAGCCACACUGGAACUGAGACACGGUCCAG